CGGGGUGCAGCAGGCGCGAAAACUUUACAAUGCUGGCAACAGCGAUAAGGGGACCUCGAGUGCCAGGAUACAAUCUUGGCUGUCGCGAUGCCUAAAAAGCAUUGCAUAGCAAGGGCCGGGCAAGACCGGUGCCAGCCGCCGCGGUAACACCGGCGGCUCGAGUGGUAACCGCUAUUAUUGGGUCUAAAGGGUCUGUAGCCGGCCGGAUAAGUCUCUUGGGAAAUCCAGCUGCUCAACAGUUGGGCUUUCAGGAGAUACUGUUCGGCUCGAGACCGGGAGAGGUGAGAGGUACUUCAGGGGUAGAGGUGAAAUCUUGUAAUCCUUGAAGGACCACCAGUGGCGAAGGCGUCUCACCAGAACGGAUCUGACGGCAAGGGACGAAAGCUAGGGGCACGAACCGGAUUAGAUACCCGGGUAGUCCUAGCCGUAAACGAUACUCGCUAGGUGUCAGCCACGGUGCGACCGUGGUUGGUGCCGUAGGGAAGCCGUGAAGCGAGCCACCUGGGAAGUACGGCCGCAAGGCUGAAACUUAAAGGAAUUGGCGGGGAGCAC
rnacentral:rRNA from 1 species